UACGGGGGGAGCAAGCGUUGUUCGGAUUUACUGGGCGUAAAGGGCGCGUAGGCGGCCACCGCAAGUCAAUUGUGAAAUCUCCGGGCUUAACUCGGAAAGGUCAACUGAUACUGCGGGGCUAGAGUGCGGAAGGGGCAACUGGAAUUCUCGGUGUAGCGGUGAAAUGCGUAGAUAUCAAGAGGAACACCUGAGGUGAAGACGGGUUGCUGGGCUGACACUGACGCUGAGGCGCGAAAGCUAGGGUAGCAAACGGG
rnacentral:rRNA from 1 species